rnacentral:rRNA from 1 species
CCCUUAGAUGUUCUGGGCCGCACGCGCGCUACAAUGAUGAAUUCAACGAGUUUAUAACCUUGGUUGAAAAGCCUGGGUAAUCUUUUGAACUUUCGUCGUGAUGGGGCCAGACCCUUGCAAUUAUUGGUCUCCAACGAGGAAUUCCUAGUAAACGCAAGUCAUCAGCUUGCAUUGAUUACGUCCCUGCCCUUUGUACACACCGCCCGUCGCACCUACCGAUUGAAUGGUCCGGUGAAAUCUUCGGAUUGAGACUUUGAUUUGUUUACUCAAAACGCUGUUUCAAGAAGUUGAUUAAACCUUACCAUUUAGAGGAAGGUGAAGUCGUAACA